UACGAAGGGGGCUAGCGUUGCUCGGAAUUACUGGGCGUAAAGCGCACGUAGGCGGCUUUCUAAGUCGGGGGUGAAAUCCUGGAGCUCAACUCCAGAACUGCCUUCGAUACUGGAGAGCUUGAGUCCGGGAGAGGUGAGUGGAACUGCGAGUGUAGAGGUGAAAUUCGUAGAUAUUCGCAAGAGCACCAGUGGCGAAGGCGGCUCACUGGCCCGGUACUGACGCUGAGGCACGAAAGCGUGGGGAGCAAACAGG
rnacentral:rRNA from 1 species